UAGAGUUCUUGCCCUGUAGGGUAGCUCUCCCACCCUUAUGUCAACAUACCUUUGUUGCUUUGGCAAGCCUGAUAGGCUUAGGUCUAGCCACCGGCGUCAGCGGGUGAGAGCUUGCCAGAGGACCCUCAAACUCUGAAUGUUAGUGUUGUCUUAGUACUAUAUAAUAGUUA
rnacentral:misc_RNA from 1 species